UGGAGACUUCAUCAUUUUUUCAUGUAACCUGAAACAGAAUAACAUUGAAAUUAUUUGUUCUUUAAAGUUUAAAUAGAAAUCAAUUCUAAAAGUUACAGUUUUAUGUAAUCUCUGUGUUUACUGUUCAAGGAUAUACCAUGGCAGUUUUACAAAUCUUAGAUGCCAUUGAUUGGAAGAAGCCUGAUUAUUUUAUACACUAUUGAGAAAAGAAAAAAAAUUGUCAGAUUAUGUUAAGCUCAUAUAGAUGGCUUCCUUGGAAUUUGCAUUUAAGCCUAGUUUCUCACUAAGAAUUUCUACCUUAAUAAAAGGAUUUCAGGCUUUAGCAGGCAUGUCACAAAGACUUUAUUUGGGUGUUAUCAUGGAAAAUCAAGUAAGCUCAACCCAUACCUGCCACUCCUUCCCAUCCAUGACGACGGCCAGCAUCCUCUUGCUUUCUCAGUCUAUCCAUCAAACCCAGGCUCUCACUGAGUGAAAAAAGAUUGUGAUCUUGCCUGAAAAAGUGAUUGAGACCUCAGUGAGAGAGUAGCAGCAGAAUAUUCCAUCUCUAGAAAUGUGGUGGAUCCUGAGAUUCAUGAUGAAAUUUUCUAGUCCAGGCUACAUCUUCCGUCCUCUCCCUUAAAGAGGAAGCUGGAGACACGCCAUUUUGGUGGACUGCAUUUGCCUUCCUGGAGAAAAACAAACAUCACCAUCAUUUAGUGUCUUUUGUCAACUAUCCAGAGUGCACAAGAUCCUGCCAAUGUUGCCUGAUCCUAAAAAAUUCAUUUUCUCUUUAUCAUCCUUCUUGAAUUGUGUGGAGAUCUGGAGAUUGUAAAUUCAACAGUGACAUGAAAUAAAUAAGGGAGAAGGUUAUUAUUAGAGCUCCUUCUACUCAGAAAAGGAGCCUUUGGAGUUAUUGCCGUCAUUAUUUCAAGGAAUUGCAUACCCUAGCAUCUCUGUGCUGUGGCAGGGAGGGAGUGGGGAUUUUUCAGAGGCCGCCCCACUCCACCAUCAGGGCCACAUUCCCAUUUCCAGCAUCCCCCAACUGGAGUUACCAUGCUCUGUUUAAAUAUCUCUAGGAGGGAAAACAGCAGGAAUAAUGCUCACCUUUCCUUACACACAACUUCCACAGGAAAAGGAGAAGAAAGAAUGAUGGCAUGGGGGUCACAGACGGUUAUGCUGGCUUAUUCCUCUCAGACUGUUUUCAUGCUCAGAAGUGAGGGAGCAUCUUUAAGCAUCCAAACAAAUCCAAAGUACAUCUAUCCUUCAGGACGUGUGGUGUCUGCUUGGCAAGCUAAGUGUGAGUUCCCCUCCCUCAUCCUCAUCCUUAAAGGACUUUACUUCUCUUCCCACAUCUUCAGCUUCCUCCCCAAAGCCAGGUCCAGUCUGUCAGAUGAAGCAACAGAUAGCCCUUAAGAAGACAGACCUCACAGAGAAAGGAGUGAGCUGAUUCACCAAUGAACAUGAAAUUCUGAGACCAUGUGAAUCCAUCAUCUUUGAUUGACAGUGAAUCCAUUUCCUAAAGAAAAAGCAGCUCUGGGCACCAAGACCCAACACCGCCUGGGAUCUAAUGAGCAAGGCUAAGGAGCAAACCCAGGAAGUCCACUGCAGCCUUGAGCUGAGUUCUUGCACCUUAGUACUCAGGACUCUAACCACCAGGUUACUACCUUUAGCCGUUUGCACAUAGUUUGCUGCUGACGUGGAGCAACACCUCUAAUGAAGAGUGUCAAGAACUGGGCACCGCCUGGUUCUUUCAGCAUGCCCAUAGUUAGUGACAAUGGUCACUUAUUUUCCUCCUGGGCCUAGGACUCUCUCAUGUAGACUGUGUGGCUGAAAAGAAGUUAAAUGAAGGACUGUGAAGAGUAGAGCUCUGAAAUGAAACCUCAGGGAUCUGCUUACACUCUCAGCCCACCUUCCAAGUUCCCCCCUCCCAUUUUCACCUGUUCUUUCAUCUGUGAUGGCUACCUUGAAAGUAAGGGUUAAUGUUUCAUCUCCCUCUCAAUCUCCCAACUCUUAACACUGUGCUAUGCACAGAGGAAGUGCUCCAUAAAAGCUGGGCAAAAUUAAAUGCAUAGAAUCAAGGAGUAUCUUAGAUUUAUAAACUAGCAGGUAUGGCCAUUCUAUCUGGGUUCUCAGAAAUCCCAGAUCUUAUCUUGUCACUCUUCUCACUAAAAAUCUCAUUUUUCCUUUGUCUUCAUUUUAAUACUCUAAGCUUCUUGACUUGAUAAUCAAUCCACACACAUUCUUGCCCCAAUUUGCUUGUCCGGGUGUCUUAGUUAUCGUAACUCAGGUUAUCGUUAACAAAAUACCAUUGACUAGGUGGCUUAAACAACAAAAGUUUAUUUCUUUCAGUUCUAGAGGCUAGAAAGUCCAAGCUCAAGGCAGUACAAGGUAGGUUUCAGUCUGCAGCCUCUUCUCUUGCCUCAUGGGUGGCUGCCAUCUCACUGUGUACUCACAUGAUCUCUUCUUUGUUUGCAUGCAGAGAAAGAGAGAGAGAGAGAGAGACAGUACUUUAGUGUGUCUUCUCAUAAGGGUGCUAUUCCCAUGUGAGCGCCCCACCCUCAUGAUCUCAUUUAACCUUAAUUACCUCCCAAAGCAACAUUUCCAAAUACUAUCACAUUAGGGGUGGGGUAGGGCUUCAAUAUAUGAAUUUUGACAGGACAAAAACAUUCUGUGCAAGACAUCAGGCACAUAGGCUAACAACAUCAUUCGUCUCCACCAUCCUCUUUACUUUAUUAUGCCCAUGCCUUUGUGAAGCCAGUCCAUCUCCGGAGAGCAAUUACUUCAGUCUGCCCAGCAACGACAAGGACAUGAAGUGCUUGAGGUUGGAGAACACAUCAGAUAUGCAGAAGCCAAGAAGUCAGGGCCUUGCAGAGGGACUCACAGACAGAGACCAGUUUGAGCCUGUAAGGAUGUGUUUUCAGUUCCCUCAUGCUGUUUAGGAAAAAGUCGCAGAUGUAGAGAAAGAGCUGGUUCUGCCCUCAGGCUGUGAUAAUUAAUGUCCUGUCUACUAAUGCAAAAUGAGGUCUUGGCCAGCCUUUCCUCUCAGGAAGCUUACUUGGCAGCCUUCCAAGCCUCUUGUAGUGUCUCCAAACUGAGGUCCACACAGUCCUGUAAUUGAGGGCAAAUGAUGCAAGGCAGGCUUGUACCUGAUGGCUAUUUGCAGGACGCCCACUCUUAGAUCAUGAAGGGCUUUGUCUUUCUCUUUAAUAUCAAGUUGCAGUGCAACAAGCACAGACAUUGAACUCAGACAGACUGUUCAACCCCCCAGCUCCAGCAAUCAAAAGCUGUGCAAUAUUUGACAAAUAAAUUUAUCCCUAUAUGUCUCUGUACUAUUUUCUGCAAAAACAGGUAAAUAAUAUCUAACAAAUGAAAUAAUUUGUUUUAAACACUUAGUCUGUAGCAGCACAUCCAUGGCACACACACACAAAAAUUGUUGGGAAACUUUUAAUACCUUCUUUUCUCCAUUCUCACUUUGUCUUGUGAGAAAGUAGGUGUAUAAUAAAUAUUUGUUGAAUAAGGAGCAAUGGAAUUGGGGUUGGGGAUAGGACUAUAACAAGAACUGGUUUGGGGCCGGCUCCCUGGCCGAGUGGUUAAGUUCACGUGCUCCGCUGUGGCGGCCCAGAGUUCGGAUCCUGGGCGCGGACAUGGCACCGCUCAUCAGGCCACGUUGAGGUGGCGUCCCACAUCCCACAACUAGAAGGACCUGCAGCUAAGAUAUACAACUGUGUACGGGGGAGUUUGGGGAGAUAAAGCAGGAAAAAAAAAAAAAAAAGAUUGGCAUCAGUUGUUAG
ensembl:lncRNA